AGAGACCAAAUGUACAAGCAAGAGCUAUGAUGAUUAUUACAAAAGUCUCCAUCUUCAGCAAAAUCGCUACAUAUAAUCGUCCCCGAUAAUAUGUAUAUAUAGUUUUUUGCUCAGGUUUUCCGGCAGACAUAUAACAUGUUAUGCUUGUAUUGACUUUGACUUUGAUUAUUCAUAUAUUUGAACAUUCAAAGGUUUUCCAUUACGGGUAAAACUUGAGAAGAAGAAGUACCGUAUGAUGCUUGUCUUAAUAAAUAUCUACAUAGUUAUAUCUUUGUCUACAUGUUUUGACUCGGUCAACUAGACUUGAAUUCUAAUUAGCUUUUUCGCUCAUCGGUGUGACAUCGUCCACACGAUCUUGGCCAGAUCAAAACAUGAGAAGAAAAGUGCAUGCAUACAAACACGG
rnacentral:lncRNA from 1 species